rnacentral:rRNA from 1 species
CACGUAGUUAGCCGGGGCUUCUUAGUCAGGUACCGUCAUUUUCUUCCCUGCUGAUAGAGCUUUACAUACCGAAAUACCUCUUCACUCACGCGGCGUCGCUGCAUCAGGGUUUCCCCCAUUGUGCAAUAUUCCCCACUGCUGCCUCCCGUAGGAGUUUGGGCCGUGUCUCAGUCCCAAUGUGGCCGGUCACCCUCUCAGGUCGGCUACUGAUCGUCGGCUUGGUGGGCCGUUACCCCGCCAACUACCUAAUCAGACGCGGGUCCAUCCUGUACCGCCGGAGUUUUUCACACCGGACCAUGCGGUCCUGUGCGCUUAUGCGGUAUUAGCAGUCAUUUCUAACUGUUGUCCCCCUGUACAGGGCAGGUUACCCACGCGUUACUCACCCGUCCGCCACUCAGUCAUCCCGGAUUCCAUCCGAAAACUUCCUCCGGCAUGCUUCGUUCGACUUGCAUGUGUUAGGCACGCCGCCAGCGUUCAUCCUGAGCCAGGAUCAAACUCU